rnacentral:rRNA from 1 species
UAGGGAAUCUUCGGCAAUGGACGAAAGUCUGACCGAGCAACGCCGCGUGAGUGAAGAAGGUUUUCGGAUCGUAAAACUCUGUUGUUAGAUAAGAACAAGGACGUUAGUAACUGAACGUCCCCUGACGGUAUCUAACCAGAAAGCCACGGCUAACUACGUGCCAGCAGCCGCGGUAAUACGUAGGUGGCAAGCGUUGUCCGGAUUUAUUGGGCGUAAAGCGAGCGCAGGCGGUUUCUUAAGUCUGAUGUGAAAGCCCCCGGCUCAACCGGGGAGGGUGAUUGGAAACUGGGAGACUUGAGUGCAGAAGAGGAGAGUGGGAUUCCAUGUGUAGCGGUGAAAUGCGUAGAUAAAUGGAGGAACACCAGUGGCGAAGGCGGCUCUCUGGUCUGUAACUGACGCUGAGGCUCGAAAGCGUGGGGAGCAAACAGG